rnacentral:rRNA from 1 species
UGCAAGUCGAACGGAAACAUGUCUAGCUUGCUAGAUGAUGUCGAGUGGCGGACGGGUGAGUAAUGCUUGGGAACUUGCCUUUGCGAGGGGGAUAACAGUUGGAAACGACUGCUAAUACCGCAUAAUGUCUUCGGACCAAACGGGGCUUCGGCUCCGGCGCAAAGAGAGGCCCAAGUGAGAUUAGCUAGUUGGUGAGGUAAAGGCUCACCAAGGCAACGAUCUCUAGCUGUUCUGAGAGGAAGAUCAGCCACACUGGGACUGAGACACGGCCCAGACUCCUACGGGAGGCAGCAGUGGGGAAUAUUGCACAAUGGGGGAAACCCUGAUGCAGCCAUGCCGCGUGUGUGAAGAAGGCCUUCGGGUUGUAAAGCACUUUCAGUUGUGAGGAAAAGUUAGUAGUUAAUACCUGCUAGCCGUGACGUUAACAACAGAAGAAGCACCGGCUAACUCCGUGCCAGCAGCCGCGGUAAUACGGAGGGUGCGAGCGUUAAUCGGAAUUACUGGGCGUAAAGCGCACGCAGGCGGUUUGUUAAGCUAGAUGUGAAAGCCCCGGGCUCAACCUGGGACGGUCAUUUAGAACUGGCAGACUAGAGUCUUGGAGAGGGGAGUGGAAUUCCAGGUGUAGCGGUGAAAUGCGUAGAUAUCUGGAGGAACAUCAGUGGCGAAGGCGACUCCCUGGCCAAAGACUGACGCUCAUGUGCGAAAGUGUGGGUAGCGAACAGGAUUAGAUACCCUGGUAGUCCACACCGUAAACGCUGUCUACUAGCUGUUUGUGACUUUAAGUCGUGAGUAGCGAAGCUAACGCGAUAAGUAGACCGCCUGGGGAGUACGGCCGC